rnacentral:rRNA from 1 species
UACGGAAGGAGCGAGCGUUAUCCGGAUUUAUUGGGCGUAAAGGGCCCGUAGGCGGUUAAGUAAGUGGGAUAUAAAAUCUCUUGGCUCAACCAAGAACCUGUAUUCCAAACUACUUUACUAGAGGGGAUGAGAGGAAAGCAGAAUUCCCGGUGUAGCGGUGAAAUGCGUAGAUAUCGGGAGGAAUACCAGUGGCGAAGGCGGCUUUCUGGCAUCUUACUGACGCUGAGGGGCGAAAGCUAGGGGAG